rnacentral:tRNA from 1 species
GGAGGGCUGGCCGAGCGGUCGAAGGCGGUUGACUUGAAAUCAAUUGUGGGGCAACCCACCGCGGGUUCGAAUCCUGCGCCCUCCGCCA